rnacentral:rRNA from 1 species
UACGUAGGGAGCAAGCGUUGUUCGGAUUUACUGGGCGUAAAGGGCGCGUAGGCGGUCGUGACAAGUCACUUGUGAAAUCUCCGGGCUUAACUCGGAACGGUCAAGUGAUACUGUCGGACUAGAGUACAGAAGGGGCAACUGGAAUUCUCGGUGUAGCGGUGAAAUGCGUAGAUAUCGAGAGGAACACCUGCGGCGAAGGCGGGUUGCUGGGCUGAUACUGACGCUGAGGCGCGAAAGCCAGGGAGCGAACGGG